rnacentral:rRNA from 1 species
GACAGAGGGUGCAAACGUUGUUCGGAAUUACUGGGCGUAAAGCGCGUGUAGGCGGCCAUCUAAGUCGGGCGUGAAAUCCCACGGCUCAACCGUGGAAGUGCACUCGAAACUGGAUGGCUAGAGUCCUGGAGAGGAAGGUGGAAUGCUUGGUGUAGAGGUGAAAUUCGUAGAUAUCAAGCGGAACACCGGUGGCGAAGGCGGCCUUCUGGACAGUGACUGACGCUGAGACGCGAAAAGCGGUGGGGAGCAAACAGGG